GCCACAUUUUUGAAGGAACUGCCACAGUGGAUCUGCAUGAAGCCAUUCAGGACAAGCAGAGAGCACAAAUCUGCACGUUGCCUUCAAUGAAUGGCAGCGAUGAAUGGAUCUGCCCGUAUGUCAUUCUUCAUGCUUCAUUCUUUUUACUUCUGCUUCUACAGCGGCUGAGCUUGAGGUCCCUUCGUGGUUUGGAGGAAAGGGAGCGUCACUCCGGUCCACCGUGGCAUUCCUGGCAGAUCAUACCGAUGCAGUGUGCAACACACUGGUUCCCUUGUAAGACACCAAAGCUCUCGUUGAUGCAAGUCUGGAGGUCACGAUGAGGAGUAAAAGGCUUCACCAGAGCACCAAGAAAAGCAAGAGAAAAAUCACUCACCUGUGUUUUGGCACAGGUGCACCAGCGGGAAUCCUGUGUGACACUAAGCUGCUGCAGCAGCAUGGUGUCUUUUUGACAUCUGGACCACGGGCCCACUGGAGCUGCUCGGUCCUGUCAGGACUCCUUGAAUAGAGAAGAUGUGGCCAGAGGAGUCAUUUGGUCUCACCAG